UGCGAACUCCUACGGGAGGCAGCAGUGGGGAAUUUUGGACAAUGGGGGCAACCCUGAUCCAGCAAUGCCGCGUGAGUGAAGAAGGCCUUCGGGAUGUAAAGCUCUUUUGUCAGGGAAGAAACGGUAGUAGCUAAUAUCUAUUACUAAUGACGGUACCUGAAGAAUAAGCACCGGCUAACUACGUGCCAGCAGCCGCAGUAAUACGUAGGGUGCAAGCGUUAAUCGGAAUUACUGGGCGUAAAGCGUGCGCAGGCGGUUGUGUAAGUCAGAUGUGAAAUCCCCGGGCUCAACCUGGGAAUUGCAUGUGGGACUGUACGGCUAGAGUGUGUCAGGGGGGGGUAGAAUUCCACGGGUAGCAGUGAAAUGCGUAGAUAUGUGGAGGAAUACCGAUGGCGAAGGCAGCCCCCUGGGGUAACACUGACGCUCAUGCACGAAAGCGUGGGGAGCAAACAGGAUUAGAAACCCGAGUAGUCCAGAUG
rnacentral:rRNA from 1 species